GCCUCCUGCAAAAAUCAAUGUAUAGGAGGUCCUACCUGCCCAGUGACAAGUUUAACGGCCGCGGUAUUUUGACCGUGCAAAGGUAGCGCAAUCACUUGUCUUUUAAAUGAAGACCUGUAUGAAUGGUGGAACGAGGGCUUAACUGUCUCCCCUUUCAAGUCAAUGAAAUUGAUCUGCCCGUGCAGAAGCGGACAUAUAAAUACAAGACGAGAAGACCCUUUGGAGCUUUAGACACAAGAUCACCUAUGUCAAGGACCAUGAACCAAGUCAAACUAAAUAGCUAACUUGAUCUUAGUCUUUUGUUGGGGCGACCGCGGGAUAAAAUAAAACUCCCAUGAGGACUGGGACAACAAACCCAAAACUAAGAAAGACAUUUCUAAGCCACAGAACAUCUGACCAUAAAGAUCCGGCUAAAUGCCGACCAACGGACCAAGUUACCCUAGGGAUAACAGCGCAAUCCCCUUCCAGAGUCCAUAUCGACAAGGGGGUUUACGACCUCGAUGUUGGAUCAGGACAUCCUAAUGGUGCAGCCGCUAUUAAGGGUUCGUUUGUUCAACGAUUAAAGUCCU
rnacentral:rRNA from 1 species